UCCCUGGUGGCUCAGAGGUUAAAGUGUCUGCCUCCAGUGCAGGAGGCCCCAGGUUCAAUCCCUGGGUCGGGAA